UACGUAGUGGGCUAGCGUUGUCCGGAAUCAUUGGGCGUAAAGGGCGUGUAGGCGGUUUGUUAAGUCAUGUGUGAAAUCCCUCGGCUCAACCGGGGAAGGACGCAUGAAACUGGCAAGCUAGAGUGCCAAAGAGGGGGGUGGAAUUCCCGGUGUAGCGGUGAAAUGCGCAGAUAUCAGGAAGAACACCAAUGGCGAAGGCAGCUCUCUGGGACGGUACUGACGCUGAGACGCGAAAGCGUGGGGAGCGAACAGG
rnacentral:rRNA from 1 species